CCUACGGGGUGCAGCAGUGAGGAAUAUUGGUCAAUGGACGAGAGUCUGAACCAGCCAAGUAGCGUGAAGGAUGACUGCCCUAUGGGUUGUAAACUUCUUUUAUAUGGGAAUAAAAUGUUCCACGUGUGGGAUUUUGUAUGUACCAUAUGAAUAAGGAUCGGCUAACUCCGUGCCAGCAGCCGCGGUAAUACGGAGGAUCCGAGCGUUAUCCGGAUUUAUUGGGUUUAAAGGGAGCGUAGGUGGAUUGUUAAGUCAGUUGUGAAAGUUUGCGGCUCAACCGUAAAAUUGCAGUUGAAACUGGCAGUCUUGAGUACAGUAGAGGUGGGCGGAAUUCGUGGUGUAGCGGUGAAAUGCUUAGAUAUAACGAAGAACUCCGAUUGCGAAGGCAGUUCACUGGACUGCAACUGACACUGAGGCUCGAAAGUGUGGGUAUCAAACAGGAUUAGAUACCCUUGUAGUC
rnacentral:rRNA from 1 species